GAUGAACGCUGGCGGCGUGCCUAAUACAUGCAAGUCGAGCGAACGGACGAGAAGCUUGCUUCUCUGAUGUUAGCGGCGGACGGGUGAGUAACACGUGGAUAACCUACCUAUAAGACUGGGAUAACUUCGGGAAACCGGAGCUAAUACCGGAUACUAUUUUGAACCGCAUGGUUCAAAAGUGAAAGACGGUCUUGCUGUCACUUAUAGAUGGAUCCGCGCUGCAUUAGCUAGUUGGUAAGGUAACGGCUUACCAAGGCAACGAUGCAUAGCCGACCUGAGAGGGUGAUCGGCCACACUGGAACUGAGACACGGUCCAGACUCCUACGGGAGGCAGCAGUAGGGAAUCUUCCGCAAUGGGCGAAAGCCUGACGGAGCAACGCCGCGUGAGUGAUGAAGGUCUUCGGAUCGUAAAACUCUGUUAUUAGGGAAGAACAUAUGUGUAAGUAACUGUGCACAUCUUGACGGUACCUAAUCAGAAAGCCACGGCUAACUACGUGCCAGCAGCCGCGGUAAUACGUAGGUGGCAAGCGUUAUCCGGAAUUAUUGGGCGUAAAGCGCGCGUAGGCGGUUUUUUAAGUCUGAUGUGAAAGCCCACGGCUCAACCGUGGAGGGUCAUUGGAAACUGGAAAACUUGAGUGCAGAAGAGGAAAGUGGAAUUCCAUGUGUAGCGGUGAAAUGCGCAGAGAUAUGGAGGAACACCAGUGGCGAAGGCGACUUUCUGGUCUGUAACUGACGCUGAUGUGCGAAAGCGUGGGGAUCAAACAGGAUUAGAUACCCUGGUAGUCCACGCCGUAAACGAUGAGUGCUAAGUGUUAGGGGGUUUCCGCCCCUUAGUGCUGCAGCUAACGCAUUAAGCACUCCGCCUGGGGAGUACGACCGCAAGGUUGAAACUCAAAGGAAUUGACGGGGACCCGCACAAGCGGUGGAGCAUGUGGUUUAAUUCGAAGCAACGCGAAGAACCUUACCAAAUCUUGACAUCCUUUGACAACUCUAGAGAUAGAGCCUUCCCCUUCGGGGGACAAAGUGACAGGUGGUGCAUGGUUGUCGUCAGCUCGUGUCGUGAGAUGUUGGGUUAAGUCCCGCAACGAGCGCAACCCUUAAGCUUAGUUGCCAUCAUUAAGUUGGGCACUCUAAGUUGACUGCCGGUGACAAACCGGAGGAAGGUGGGGAUGACGUCAAAUCAUCAUGCCCCUUAUGAUUUGGGCUACACACGUGCUACAAUGGACAAUACAAAGGGCAGCGAAACCGCGAGGUCAAGCAAAUCCCAUAAAGUUGUUCUCAGUUCGGAUUGUAGUCUGCAACUCGACUGCAUGAAGCUGGAAUCGCUAGUAAUCGUAGAUCAGCAUGCUACGGUGAAUACGUUCCCGGGUCU
rnacentral:rRNA from 1 species